GGCCAGGAUAACUCAGUUGGUAGAGCAGAGGACUCAAAAUCCUCGUGUCACCAGUUCAAAUCGGUAAUGGCCG
rnacentral:tRNA from 3 species